rnacentral:lncRNA from 1 species
ACCACGAAUAUCCCUCUGCUACAAAAUGGCUAGGUGGUAAUCCUAUAUUUAACGAUGUUCUUGAAGACUUAAAUUAGGUGUUUACACAAUGAUUCCUGCCCUCACAGACACCUGCAGCAGGCCGAAGAGGCAGUCUCAACCAGUAGUGCUGCAGGCGAUUGUUGGCCCAGCCCAUCGCCUGCUGAAGAACUGCUGGAUGAAAUGUAUGCUUUGUCACAUUUUGUUUGCACUACCAUGUAUCUCGUCUACGUGCUUCUGUUUAUUAUUUGUUGAUGUUAAUGCAGAUGCUCCGGGAGAACACCUAUGUGCCACUCAAACGACGAAGAGAGCUGUGGCUUGCUCAGUCCAACCCCGAGUGAGGCUGCAGCAUCUUCCGGGUGAGCGUGUCUCAAGGUAUGUUACAUUGUACCUGUCUUAACAGAUGAUAAUUUUCUUUUCAUGCGCCGCCAAGGUCCAACAGUUGCACGAACAGAGCGCAGC